UACGUAGGUGGCAAGCGUUAUCCGGAAUUAUUGGGCGUAAAGCGCGCGCAGGUGGUUUCUUAAGUCUGAUGUGAAAGCCCACGGCUCAACCGUGGAGGGUCAUUGGAAACUGGGAGACUUGAGUGCAGAAGAGGAAAGUGGAAUUCCAUGUGUAGCGGUGAAAUGCGUAGAGAUAUGGAGGAACACCAGUGGCGAAGGCGAUUUUCUGGUCUGUAACUGACACUGAGGCGCGAAAGCGUGGGGAGCAAACAGG
rnacentral:rRNA from 1 species